UAUUGUCGUCCCGGAUUACAACCUGUGACAGUCUGUCGCCUGUACAAUCCACGACAGGCUGUGUUGCGCGUGUUUUUGCAAGCUUAUUGCUGAUGCUGGAUUCACACAUACAGUACAUGUUAAUGGCUUUUGAAGGUGGGCUGGUCUGGAGGUAUCUAUCAGAGGCAGGAGCUGCUAAUGUUGUAACAUGUCCACCUUUUUUGGGUGCGCUUUGUCCGACAAAAACGGGGAACAAGGACAACAAUCUCGUCCAAGAGUGGAGCAUUAAAUGUGAUUUGAUUGUCUGGCUCCUGUGUUGGAAUAAUUAUUUGCACAACAUGAUUUGAUUGGCUGACGCUUGGAAAGUGGAGCAUUUCUCGACUUCUGCCGCCCGCAACAGGAGCAGAGCAACGGACCCACAGUGUGAACGAGAAGCGCUUCACUUGACGGCGUGUCCGUCACGUACAUAGUCUCUCCCGGUCCAGUGCAAUGAUUAUCAUGGAUGGGUUUGAGAGGAAGCCUUGGUUGUUAAAUGACAGAUCUCUUUGUUCCCACGUCACGUUCAGCAUGUGCCUAUUGUCAUGUAUGUACCUUGAACAUGCAGAGGAUCUGCUGCUCCAGAGAUGCGCCCAUCUGCAGAAACGAGGAUCCCUCCGCCUGUACACACUCAGAGAGUCUGUAAAGCCCUUGAGAGCUGUGCAGCCCGAGGGGUACCACAGGAAUAUCACAGCCAGACUCUCCUUCACUCAAUUGUACUAGUUUCAUCUCCGCCUGCGCUUGUUUGAGACUCACCUCCCGAGGCACAGACGCUCCACCAGACCACUGACUGGGCUGUGCACCAAAAUAGGUACAAAAAUAGCUGUACACAACCAUGUCAGUGUGUGAGUGAAUGAAUAAAAAAUGUCUCUGGAUCGGAAGCCCUGGUUAACCCUAUGCUGUCCCACUUCAGCAGACAUAGGGAGGAGUGGUUACGUUAAAGAAAAUCAAACCGUUGAAAUCCAGCUAGUUGUUUUUGAGCAAUUAAACAAACAAACAAACGAUGCCGUGACCCUCCCUGUUAAUCACUGUUUGGGGCAAUUUUCAUUUAGCGCUGCCUUUUAAUUGUGGAAAAAAAGUCCAAAGCAAUCGUGUGUGAAGACAUCGACUUUCCCUGUGAAAUCAUGCAAGAAUUACCUACUCUUUCAUGACUAACUCUUAACCACACACACACACACACACACACACGCAUAUAAAAACCAGGUCCCCACCCCAUCCCUUUCCCCAAUCCUCCACCUCCCAGCCGUCUUGUUCUCACCACCUUGGCAAUGUGGCUGUCACAUACAGACGUAAUUAGCAGUCCUGCUGCAGGAGCGUAUGGUAAUGUGACAGGAAGACGGUGGACACGGUGGCUGCUCGCACACUCCUCUCACUGGGGGGAAACCUCUGUGCUUGAACCUCCCCCUCAGUAGAAGGACUGGUGUUGGUCAAACAGGAGGCAGGAGGCAGGUUGUCUUUUUUACUCUAUUUACAUUUUACAUAAAGUUACUUUCUUUAAUUGAGACUAUACUACAUUAAAAUGUUCCUAACACGUUAUAAUAAUAUAAUAAAAAUAAUAUAAAAAUGGUUUACAUUUAUUUCCUGAUUUGACUGCUGUAAUACAAUAUUUGUUCUCAUGAUCUUAUGUCAUUUUAGUGCCACUGGAUCCUCCAAAAACAUGAUAAAAAGCUGCUUGAAGUGGGAAUACUGCGCUGCGGCUCUGGGCUCCUCGUGACCUGCUUCUGGAGUUUCUGGACCAUGAGGCCAAACGAGAGCAAGAAGUGAGGAGUGAUGGAUUUUGGUGAUGGAGAGACAGGAAUACGGGAGGAGAAAUGAAGACAGCACGACAGUUUGAGCAAAGACACACAAUUCCAGGGGGAAAAAAUGCUCUGUCAUCUAAUGAGACACAUUGCAUCACUCUGGUCCAAGAUGUGACCUUAGACUGCAGCUAGGACUGAGACCAUAACUCUUGAUACUGUAAAUAAUCCUCCACUGACAGCUUCAAAUUGUA